rnacentral:rRNA from 1 species
GACGAACGCUGGCGGCGUGCUUAACACAUGCAAGUCAAACGGUGAAGCCUUCGGGUGGAUCAGUGGCGAACGGGUGAGUAACACGUGAGCAAUCUGCCCUUGACUCUGGGAUAACUUCGGGAAACCGGAGCUAAUACCGGAUAUGACAUCUGGCCGCAUGUCUGGUGUGGAAGAUUAUCGGUCAGAUGAGCUCGCGGCCUAUCAGCUUGUUGGGGGGUAAGU